UGGGGAAUUUUGGACAAUGGGCGAAAGCCUGAUCCAGCCAUGCCGCGUGCAGGAUGAAGGCCUUCGGGUUGUAAACUGCUUUUGUACGGAACGAAAAGACUCUGGUUAAUACCUGGGGUCCAUGACGGUACCGUAAGAAUAAGCACCGGCUAACUACGUGCCAGCAGCCGCGGUAAUACGUAGGGUGCAAGCGUUAAUCGGAAUUACUGGGCGUAAAGCGUGCGCAGGCGGUUAUAUAAGACAGAUGUGAAAUCCCCGGGCUCAACCUGGGAACUGCAUUUGUGACUGUAUAGCUAGAGUACGGCAGAGGGGAAUGGAAUUCCGCGUGUAGCAGUGAAAUGCGUAGAUAUGCGGAGGAACACCGAUGGCGAAGGCAAUCCCCUGGGCCUGUACUGACGCUCAUGCACGAAAGCGUGGGGAGCAAACAGGAUUAGAUACCCUGGUAGUCCACGCCCUAAACGAUGUCAACUGGUUGUUGGGUCUUCACUGACUCAGUAACGAAGCUAACGCGUGAAGUUGACCGCCUGGGGAGUACGGCCGCAAGGUUG
rnacentral:rRNA from 1 species